AUGACAGACUUACUGGAUAUUAGAAUUAGUAAAAGAUCUUAUCAAGCAGGUAGUCAAUUCAAGCUCCUGGAUCACAGUCAUACAUACCUCUUUCACUUAUUCCAAGUGUUAAUUAGCACCUACUGUGUGUAAGCAUUUUUCCAGACACAGUGGAAGAUAACAAAGAAAAGUUAGAAGUGAUCCCUGCUCUCAAAGAGUUUAUAGUCUGAUAGGGAGGACAAGAUGUACGUGCAUUAUGUACACUAUGUCGUUUGAAAAGAGUUGAGUGCUGAAGAAUUGAUGCCUUUGAACUGUGGCUCUGGAGAAGACUCUUGAGAGUCCCUUGGACUGCAAGGAGAUCAAAC
rnacentral:lncRNA from 1 species